CCUACGGGCGGCAGCAGUGGGGAAUAUUGGGCAAUGGAGGCAACUCUGACCCAGCAACGCCGCGUGAGCGAUGAAGGUCUUCGGAUUGUAAAGCUCUUUAAGCGGGGACGAAGAAAGUGACUGUACCCGCAGAAUAAGCCUCCGCUAACUACGUGCCACCAGCCGCUGUAAUACGUAGGAGGCAAGCAUUAUCCGGAAUGACUGGGCGUAAAGGGUGCGUAGGUGGUUUGGCAAGUUGGUUGCGUAAUCCCGGGGCUCAACCGCGGUACUACUACUGAAACUGGUGGACUUGAGUGCAGGAGAGGUGAGUGGAAGGCGCGGUGUAGCGGUGGAAUGCGUAGAUAUGGGGAAGAACACC
rnacentral:rRNA from 1 species